rnacentral:lncRNA from 1 species
ACUGUUUUGAUUCCUGAUGCUGCACAUCUGCCACGUUUCUGCACAGAGCUACCAGCCCGGGCAGACACUGAGGACCCUCCUCGCGCACUGGAGCUGUGGCCUCGGCAGCUGUGGGAAUGCGGACAGGAAGCAGGGGACCCUGGAGGCGAGAGGAGGAGGACAUCCUGCGGGGAUAGAUAAAAAAUAACGGCCGGGCUGUGGGAACCUCUUCCGAGCAAACAUGUGAGCCCAGGAAUUUCCUGAGCCAGAGAUCUGACUCCGGUUAUUUGUUGUAACUGAUUAUUUGUUUUCCUGGAGAUUUUGCAUAAUUUUGACAAAGGGAAAGAAGAUAUAAAGCCAAGACAUGCAUGACUGCCCUUCUGAAGCCUCUGCUCACAGAGCAGAGGGAUAGGAGGCUGUGAUUCAGAUUAUGGGGCCUGCAGGCUGGGGAGGGCGACCCUGCAGGGGCCCAGGAGCAGGCAGAGUGUGCCCCACAGACCCCUCCCUGGGGCAGAGGGACAGCAGAUUACUGGGCCCGAGACGCAUUAGGUGGCACAUGCUGGUUCCCUCUGUCCAGCGAGCCUCUCCCCCAGCAUCAUCCAGCCCUGGGCCUCCAGCAGGCAGAGGAGAUCAUGACCAGGAAGCAAUUCAUCACCAUCCAAGGCCUUAGCAGACUCUGGCUUUCCUUUGAAUUUCCAAGAAAACUGCUCCAUAAUUUUUAUCAAGACUUAUCAUUUGCCCAUCUCACCCUACACACUAGAAUUUUAAGCGAUGAAGUACAUGUGGAGACUUACUUUGUAGUCUUUUAAGAUAAUGACCAAAUGAACAUUUCUGGCCUCACUCAGCAUCUGCUCUGACACGGGUUUAAGGGGCUGCCGCGGCCAGGAAGAGGUGGGCCUGGUCCUGUCGGUGGAUGCGCAUUCUGCUUCCCUUAGGCGGGGCUGGGCAUGCUGGGACCUCCCCUGUGAGGGGACAGCGGAACUCGCAGGGCAGACCCAUGUCCCUGGUGUCUUCCUUCUGAUGGGCCUUCCCCUCAUGUCGGGAUCCACCUUACAGGGCAUCUGGCCUGGUGUCUGCACAUAGUGAAACAUGGCUGAGUGUCCCUUGCAUUAAAUGCAUGUCCUUGGGAUCGCGGUUUCCCUCUCCUCUCCCUUGUCUUUCCCAAGAAACCCUCCACCCUGACGACACCCCACUAAUAUCUCCAUGUGGCCAAUUCCUCACAGGGUCAAAUAUGCUGGGCCACCCCCUCUGAGGCCGCAGCUGCAUCUCAGGUUUGCAUUCUCACCACGGCCGUUCUACUGAUGGGAGCUUCAUUUCUAUUUGCUCGAGGUAUUACACCUAUUUUAUUUUUCUUUAAUGAAAUCCUCCUCACUUCCAUCACCUCAGUGCACCCCUCUCUUCAGAGCUUUCCUUCUCUCCCCUCCUCCCUCCCCAUCUUUCUUCCUUCCUGUCCCCAAAGACCAGGCCAUGGUGCCCUCGAAGGACACAACAGAGCCCCAUGUGGACUGGGAAGCUGGCCCUGGCCCAGGGCCCCUCCAGCACAGCCUUUCCCCAACUGGCCUUAGGCAAGUGCCCUGCAGUGUCUAUCUGCAGCCAUCUCUGCCUCAUGUGUUUACAAAUUCACCUUCUGCUGUGGAUCCCUGUCAACCGCAGGUCCGCCCAACACAUUUCGCCCUGGAUCUCACUGGGUGGACGUGAACAUCCACCUGCACGACAGUAAAGGAAAAAGGACAAGAUGGAGUUGUGGGGGCAGGGGGUGGUUCUUCCCAUAAAAACACAGAAGCAUCACAAGAAUAAUAUUUGUUAAAAGCCUCCAGGAUUUGGUGCCGAACAUCUCUCAAGGCAUCUCCUGAUUUCCCAGAGCUGAUGGAAAUAUUCUGAAGGUAUUAAUAGAAUGCAGAUGUUGGAGAAUGCGACUUAGAAUCCUACUGAACAAAUGACCCUGUUGGGAGGCAGUUUGCAGUCUCCAGGGACAUUCCACAGAGGGCCCAGCUGAUUGUCUCAUAUUGAAACAGCAUGUCCCAGCAUUCCAGCUAGAAGAAGCGGAACAGGGCUCCUCCACCAGAUAUAAAUCACAAGGCAAAGGGCAACUGAACUCCUUCAGUCCUGCCCUCCCUCCUUCCUUGGUUCACCCUCCACCCCCUCCCCCGCUCCCGCCCCCCAAGGAAAACAAAGCUUGAGUAAGAGGCUGCCAAGCCAAGCCACGCAGGCGCCAGACGGCCGAGCGCGGCACACACGACGGCCGUUUGGGAGGCUCACAGCUUUCGGCACUGUGGCCCUGAUGUUUUUGCUUCACUGCAAUUUGUUUCUGAUCUCCAGUCAAGUCCUUACAACGCUGGGAUCCUCUAGAGAGUUUAUACUUUGACCUCGUGACAAUUAACACCAGAGGCCAAGAAAAAAAAAAAAAACUCGAUAAGAGAGAAACUCAAUUGGUGGGAGGUGGAGGGUGGGAGGACGGGCGGGGGCCUAUUACUAAAGUAAAUGCGUUACUUGUGAAAUUAUUUCCCAUCCAAUAAAAAGAAUGCAGUGUCUUUAAAG